CACCAAGUGAGGAAGCCUGAGAAGGUGCCAUCUAUGGAGCAUAGAACGAGCCAUCACCAGACACCAGAUCUGCUGGCACCUUGAUCUUGGACUCUCCAGAUUCUAGAACGAUUUGAGUAACAUAACGUUGCUAAAUCAGAGAAAGAGGCAGCUGCCCCCAUCCUUUCAAGACUCGCAACUCUCCUGUGCUGAGGCAGGUUGGAUUACAUCUGAAAAUCUUCCCCUUGGAUAUUAUGCUUCCAAAGCAGAAACCUUUUAAUACAGGAAUUCGUGCUCAAAUGGUUAUAAGACAAUCAGGAAAAGAAGUAAAAAUGUGGCAUCGUUUACUGCGAUUCUAAUUUCAAAUGGAAUCAAGUUUUCCAAAUAGUAAGAGAAGCCUGUAGGUUAAUUGCUCAGAAUGAAAUUGUCCCAGAAGCUUCCGUCUCUUCUAGGAGCAUAUGAAGUAAUGUGUAUUUUGGAAAUGUGUUCCACGGACAGUAAAGAGAGGAAAGAAGUGAACUGGAUCUUCUGGCCCCGGAACCUCGGCUUAAUGGCUUGCUCAGCACUGCUAAUAGGUAAAUACCAACAAGCAUGAUUGCUGGAUCAUGUGAUACGAGUAUAUUUAAUUUUGUAAGAUACUACCAAACUGUCUUCUAAACUGCCAGUGCCAUUUUGCAUUCUCAUGAGCAAUGAAUGAGAGUCCCUGUUGCUCCACAUCCUCGUCAGCAUUUGGUGUUAUCAGCAUUCUGGAUUUGGGCCAUUUUAACAGGUUUGUAGCAGUAUCUCAUUGUUGCUUCCAUAAGACAUAUGAUGUUGAGCAUCUUUUCAUAUGCUUAUUUGCUAUCUGUAAAUCUUCUUUUGUGAAGUGUCUAUUCAGGUCUUUUGCCCAUUUUUAAUCAGGUUUUUUGUUGUCUUAUGUUUUAGGAAUUGUUUGUAUAGUUUGGAUAACAGUUCUUUAUCAGUUAUGUCUUUAGCAAAUAUUUUUGCCUACUCUGUAGAUUGUCUUCUCAUUCUCUUGUCAUUGUCUUUCACAGAGCAGAAGUUUUUAAUUUUAAUGAAGUCCAGCUUAUCAGUUAUUUCUUUCAUGGAUCACGUCUUUGUUGUUGUACAUAAAAAGUCAACACCAAACCCAAGGUCGACUAGGUUUACUCCUAUAUUAUCUUCUAGCAGUUUUAUAGUUUUGUAUUUUACAAUUAGGACUGUGAUCCUUUGAGUUAAUAUUUGUGAAGGGUAUAAGUUCUGUGUCUAGAUUCACUUUUUUGCAUGUGGAUGUACAGUUGUUCCAGCACCAUUUAUUGAAAAGAGUAUCUUUUCUACAUUAUAUUACUUUUGCUCCUUUGUCAAAGAUCAUUUGACUAUAUUUAUAUGUGUCUAUUUCUGGCCUCUCUAACUUGCUCCAUUGAUCCGUUUUCUAUUCUAUCUCCAAAACCACACUGUCAAUUACCGUAGCUUAUAGUAAGUCUUGAUGUUGAGUAGUAUAAUCCUUCAAUUUGUUCUUCUUCGAUAUUGUGCUGGCCAUCCUGAGUCUUUUGCUUUUCCAUAUGAACUUUAGAAUCAGUUUUUUUAUAUCCAUAAAAUAACUUGCUGUGAUGGGAUUAUGGUUGGGAUUUCAUUGAAUCAUACAUCGUUAGUUAGCUUUUGCUGUAUAACAAACCACUCCAAAACUUAGUGGCUUAAAAAAAAACUGCUUUAUUUCAUUCACAAUUUUGUGAGUUAGCUGGGCCAAUUUCACUGAUUUCUCUACUGAGCUAGCUGGUAAAUCAAUUGGGAAGGCCGGGCGCGGUGGCUCACGCCUGUAAUCCCAGCACUUUGGGAGGCCGAGGCAGGCG
rnacentral:lncRNA from 10 species